UAAGUCCUGGGCAUGAAAAUUUCCUCUUUGCUUCACAUAUUUCAUUAUGUCUUAAUGCCAUUUUCCCUUAAUGGCUUGUGUUUUUACCUCCUAGAAGGGGGUAGUAGGUGGUGGUGGUAGAGGAAAAGGCACAGGGCCAGUGAUGGACUGAACAGGCAGCUCACCUCCUGGCGUCUGUGGCUGUUCCAUCAUUGCACCACACAUUGUUGGACCCCCUUUGACAUGGUCAUUAUAUAUGACCACUCAUGCUGAUCUGUCUUCAUUGUUGUUGGCACAGUUUCUUGCUUUUGCAGAAUUAUUUGGUGUACUCACAGUUCCUUCUAUUGAUUCUUCCACACUUAUACAGCAAGAAAGAGCUACACAGAUCAACUCUACCAACUCCUGUUUUGGCACCUAGUCCCACCUUUGCUCCUGGGAUCAUGAAUGAAAGAGAUUCAUCUAAUUCCUGAAGAGACGGCUCCUCUUCCUAUAAAAGCUCACCUGUGGACACAGUCUGCAGAAAAAGAAAACAAAAGAUUCAAAAUGUACCAUGGGUUACAUAGAUAUAAAUCUAAUUGGAUAAGUCCCAGUGUUGAUGAUGAGGAAACUGCAGAAAACGGAUUCUAUCCACAGACUAUAAACAGUGGAGUGUUGGUCUUCUAAGUUUAAGACCC
rnacentral:lncRNA from 1 species